rnacentral:misc_RNA from 1 species
GAUGAAGAACGUAGCGAAAUGCGAUAAGUAGUGUGAAUUGCAGAAUUCAGUGAAUCAUCGAAUCUUUGAACGCACAUUGCGGCCAUAGGUAUUCCUUUGGCCAUGCCUGUUCGAGCGUCAUUUACACCCUCAAGCCUAGCUUGGUGUUGGGCGCCUGUCCCGCCGUUUUCGCGCGCGGACUCGCCUCAAAGUCAUUGGCGGCGGUCGUGCCGGCCCCCUCGCGCAGCACAUUUGCGCGUCUCGGAGGCCCGGCGGAUCCGCGCUCCAGCAAGACCUUUCACGACUUGACCUCGGAUCAGGUAGGGAUACCCGCUGAACUUAAGCAUAUCAAUAAGCGGAGGA